CGGACAUAUCAAUUCGGUUCGGGCAUUUCAGAUAUUGGAUAGUUCGGAUAGGAGACUAGAUGAUCCAUUUACUACUUGACAUAUUUUCGGUUCGGUUUUGUUCAGAUAGUGGGCUCGGUUCGGAUAGUAAAACUAGGAACCCGAGAAUACAUAGAAAAAAUUAGGUUUUCAUUUGGUUCCGGUUCGGUUAUUUCGGAUAAUUCGAGUAAAAUAUUGGAUAUUUUGGAUAAAAUAUUGAAUAAUUAGGAUGAUUCAGAUAAAAAUAUCAAAUAUUUCGGAUUACUUUGGAUAUCUGGAUAAAAAUAUCCGAGUACUUUCAGAUACUUUUGGGUAGUUCUGAUAUUUUAUAAUAAUUUAGUUUUCUUCAAAUAUUUUUGAAUACUUUUAAUAGUUUUUUAAAUUAUAAAUAAAUAUUUAAUUAUGUUAUAUGAAUAUAUAAUUAAUAUUUUAAUAUAUUAGGUACCUGUUCGGUUCUCGGUUUGAUUCCGGUUUGGUUUGGUUAUUUGAAUAUAGAAAUAUAGGAACCAUUCAAGGGUACCAGACCGGUUUUGGUUUCGGGUAUUUUGGUUCGGUUCAGUUUUUUUUUUGUCCAGACCUGGGUGGAAUAUUGAAGAUUAUCUCUACAAUAAAAUAACAAAUUAAAUAGAAAAUUAAGAAAGAGGGAUUAAAAAAGAAUGAGAGAGGAUAAUAUACUAUUUUCAUUUGAAAAUCCUUUCACAAAGUUUGAGAAACUCUCAAACAAAGUGUCUUUAUUUUGUUAAUUAAAUUCGUUUUAUUUACAGUUUAGUUAAAAAUGAUAUGUUGAAGAUAUUUUGUUAAAAAACUAUUUCAUGCUGAUGUUUUAAGAAAAUUGUGGAUUUCUCUCUCUUAAAAUAUUUACAUUAUAUCAACUUGUAUUUAUUAAAGUUCAUUAAUUGCUUCGACCAUAUCAGCUACCCUAAUGUUCAUGUUUCAAUUUUUUUAGUCAGAGCUCACUUUGGGUUAAAGUUGUAGACACCAAAAGUAAUAUAGUGAUUUUUAUGGAAAAAUAAAAAUUGUUCAUGCUUUAAGAUACCACCUCCAUAAAACCAGACUUGGUUCUAACUGAGGGGAAUUCUAAUUGUGAUCAUAUUACGUAGAAAGAAGUACACCGUAAGACAGUUUUAAGUUUAUUAUUACAAUAUAAGACACUUUUAAGAAUUACACCAUAAGGCAAUUUAAAAUUUAUUAGAGAAAAUUGUCAAAAACGGAACAAAAAUUUAAUAUGGUUGUCCCUAUGAUAUAAAACAAACAUGAAGUUGUCCCUAUAGUAUAAUUUUUUUCAUAAUCUCAAAACUAACCCUUUAAAUUAAUCAAAUUAAUCAAAAUUUAAAACUUUAAUUGAAUUUAAAAAGGUUAAUGAAAAAAAAGGAAAAACAUAAUAAAAAGGCUAAGAAAAAAAAAUUAAAACAAAAAAAAGGAACAACACUCCCGUAACCCUAACCAUAUUGGUUUCUCAGCCUCUCUGUCUCUCUUUCUCUCUCGGCGAUCAAGAAGGCGAUUGUGCCUUUUACAGUGAAAUCGAGCUUCCCUUCAGGUGAAACCCCUUCGUCCGUCUCCGACAUCACUGGCACCGAAGGGCCGACGUUUAGCUCAGGGAUGUGCACUGAAGUGUUUCAGUUCGAUGUCUCAACAACCUCCGGAGCCAUUAUACCAGCAUCUCCAGCAGCCAACGCCAUUACACCUGCAUCUCCAGCAGCCAACGCCAUUACACCUGCAUCUCCAGCAGCCAACGUCUCUUCUGAACACAGUAAGAACGCCACAGACACGCACAACGGAAAGAACGGAAGAACCUUGUCUGCCCAUUCCACUCUCAGGAUCAGAUUAUAACUUCACCAAAGAGCACCAAAGAAACAGCUCUAGCAAAUAAAUCAAGCCCGCUUCAUCAAUGGUUCUGUCAGUGCUUGUUGAUCCUAGAGAAGGUGGUGAUGGAGAUAUCGAUGGGAUGAUUGGGGGACCAAAUUCAUUGUCUCGAGUUUUUGUUGUCGUGCUUGUGGACAGUGCAAAGUAUGUAACAUACUCUUGUGUCCUACCUCGAUCAGGAGCUCCUCAUCUUGUGUCCACUUAAAAAGCUUUACAGGACUGAAACAUGAUUCAGCGGUUUUUUAUCCUUCAGCUGUGUAUGUAGAAGAAUAAACAAGCUGCCUGCCUAUGGAAUCAAGUAGUAUCCUUAGUUAUUACCGUUUUGUUUCCAGAUGUAGAAUCCGAGUGAUGUAACUUUUUUAUAUAUAUUUUUCA